CAAGCUGCCCAAUACGUGUAGCUUCUGACCUAAUGGUCACUUGCAACCAUAGCAACUGAAGAGCACUCAGAACGGUCUCGUAAAAAAAUCCCCCUAACUGUCAAAGGGCGAAGAGAGCAUUAUUCAGUAUCUGAAGCCAAAGGCCCUGGAAGCCAAGGAGGCGGUGCUGGCAGACACAGAGAGAAACCCUGCAUGUCACCCACCUUCCAGUGGUCCAAGAGUCCGAAGCUCUGAAGGCAGCACACAUACCUUGGAAAGAGAGCCCAGGAAAAACAAACCCUCAGAAGGUUGGCUAUCUGAAGUGAGUGUGUCCCUCCUGUUCUGCUUUUCCGGGAGAAGACUGUGUGAUCACACCGUCAGGUUGAUUCCGAAGGCUUGCAGGAAUUUCCAGUGACACCACCUGAGCUCUGUGAUUUCAGGAAUGUUUUAAAACUGUGAUUUCAAUUUCCUUAAUAGUUUCAGACCAUUGCAAGAUAUCUACUUCCUGUUGGGUGGGUCAUAGUCAUUUUUAUUGUACAAUUGCAUUUACCCAUGUUUCGCUUAAUAUCUUUCUUGGAUCCCAUGCUUCCUGUAGUCCUUCUGUAAUGCCCCCUUUUAGAGAACUCCAUUCAGAAAAAGCCCAUGGAUGACAUAAAUGCUCUAGCGUCCGUCCUUCCACCUGAGAGCGCACUCCCUCCUCCUCCCUCCUGAGGGCUCUUUCCCUGGGUUUGGGGUUUGAGUGGGUUUUUGUUUGUUUUUAUUUUUGUUUUGUUUUUUUCCUUUUCCUUUCUGCACUUGUAAAAUGAGGCAUGCCUUGGCUUCUGAAACCAAUUGUCACUCAGAUGGCUCUCCCUUGAAGGGAUGGUGCUAUUUAUUUCUGCUUUCCUUAUUUGUUUUUAAUUUUCAGAAUUAAAAUGAUAACAGUGUCUGGGCAUAAGUUUCUUUGCAUUUAUACUACUUAGAUUGCGUGUGAUUCAUUUUAAAUCAUAGCUUUAUUGAGAUAGAAUGUGUAUGCCAUCAAAUCUAGCCUGUUCAAAUGUACAGUUCAGUAGCUUUGGGUAUAUUUUCAGGGUUGUGAAACCUUUUAUCUAAUUUUAGAACACUUUCACCAUGUCAAAAAGAAACCCUACACUCACUGCUUGUCGCUUUACCGACCUGCCUACACCCUUAGCAACCACUAAUGCACCUCCCGUCUCUAUGCCUUUGCCUGUGCCAGACCUUUCAUAUAAAUACAAUCGUUCAGCAUGUGAUUUAAGUGGCUUCCUUUACUCGGCAUCUUUUCAUGUUUCACUCAUCUAGCAUAGUCAUAUUUAAAGUUAGUAAAGGUACCUUAUUCAUUUCCUAGGCCCAGAUAAUACACUCUGUUCUGGAGAGCUCUUGGGGCUGCUUCUAUCUGGGCUAGGACAAGGAAGUAGGCUCAGGCAGGAAUUUGACACUGGGCAAGGACAAGAAAGUCGGAUCAAGAUCUUGAUCAUCUUGAUGAGUCCCCGAAUACCACAGGGAUUUGUUUAUUGUCUUGGUUGUUCCCUGGCUGUUUUUGUUUACUGCUGUGUUUGUUCAUGGACUUAGAACUGACCUUAUUCUGUGCAUGAACUUAGAACGGUAUAACAGCAGACUGAUAAAUAAAUAAAUAAAUAAAUAAAUAAACAAACAAACUCACUUCAGCCUCAGCACUGGCUGGAGUCAUGUU